CGUGGCGGCGACACCGAUCGGCACGGUCUCGACCAUNAACCCGAUCCCAUCUCGAACUCGGCCGUUAAACACACCAGCGCCCAUGGUACUGUGUCUCAAGACACGGGAGAGUCGGUCGCCGCCAGAC
rnacentral:rRNA from 1 species